GAAAUGCGAUACGUAGUGUGAAUUGCAGAAUUCAGUGAAUCAUCGAAUCUUUGAACGCACAUUGCGCCCUUUGGUAUUCCAAAGGGCAUGCCUGUUCGAGCGUCAUUUGUACCCUCAAGCUUUGCUUGGUGUUGGGCGUUUUUUUGUCUUUGGCUCGCCCAAAGACUCGCCUUAAAACGAUUGGCAGCCGGCCUACUGGUUUCGCAGCGCAGCACAUUUUUGCGCUUGCAAUCAGCAAAAGAAGACGGCAAUCCAUCAAGACUCCUUCUCACGUUUGACCUCGGAUCAGGUAGGGAUACCCGCUGAACUUAAGC
rnacentral:misc_RNA from 1 species